UCCGUAGGUGAACCUGCGGAAGGAUCAUUAUAGAAAUAAAACUGAACAGGCUGUUUGCUGGUCCUUCUCGAGGGACAUGUGCACGCCUGUCGUCUUUAUUUUUCCAACUGUGCACAUAUUGUAGACCUGGAGUUUUUCUUAUCGUUCGAAUAGAUUGAGGACUGCCGUUGAGGCUUUGCCUUGUAUUUUCCAGGUCUAUGUUGUAAUACAUUUUCACAACGUGUUUCAGAAUGUCGAGUACUGGGGAUAACAAAUAAACAACUUUCAGCAACGGAUCUCUUGGCUCUCGCAUCGAUGAAGAACGCAGCGAAAUGCGAUAAGUAAUGUGAAUUGCAGAAUUCAGUGAAUCAUCGAAUCUUUGAACGCAUCUUGCGCUCCUUGGUAUUCUGAGGAGCAUGCCUGUUUGAGUGUCAUCGAAAGUUCUCAACCAUGCCGGUUCUUCUGGCAUGGCUUGGAUUUGGGGGUUUGCAGGCUUUUAGGUCGGCUCUCCUUGAAAGAAUUAGUGGUAUCCGGAGUACCUCGGGCGUGAUAAUUAUCUAUGCCUUGGUGGGUGUACUGUGCGUGAGCUGCUUCCAACCGAGUGUUGACAAAUUUGACCUCAAAUCAGGUAGGACUACCCGCUGAACUUAAGCAUAUCAAUAAGCGGAGGA
rnacentral:rRNA from 1 species